UCCAUUUCACGACGGACCACGUCAACUUGGGAGUUUGCAGAGAAGACUUAAUAUCCGGCUCAAUCGUCACGUGUCAGAGAUGAGUGUGCCGGGGUUUGUAAUUGUGUCUGAUGAUGAGACCGGAGAUGUCCACACAGCUGUCAUUGAUGAGACAGGUAAUCAGAAAGUUGUCUCCCUUGAAGAAGCCAGCAAUUAUCGUCAGAUCACAUGUGUCAAGAAGAUCAAUUCCAUCCCGAUGACACCACGACACAUGCUGGUGGA